GAGUUUGAUCCUGGCUCAGAGUGAACGCUGGCGGUAGGCCUAACACAUGCAAGUCGAACGGCAGCACAGUAAGAGCUUGCUCUUAUGGGUGGCGAGUGGCGGACGGGUGAGGAAUACAUCGGAAUCUACUUUUUCGUGGGGAUAACGCAGGGAAACUUACGCUAAUACCGCAUACGACCUACGGGUGAAAGCAGGGGAUCUUCGGACCUUGCGCGAUUGAAUGAGCCGAUGUCGGAUUAGCUAGUUGGCGGGGUAAAGGCCCACCAAGGCGACGAUCCGUAGCUGGUCUGAGAGGAUGAUCAGCCACACUGGAACUGAGACACGGUCCAGACUCCUACGGGAGGCAGCAGUGGGGAAUAUUGGACAAUGGGCGCAAGCCUGAUCCAGCCAUACCGCGUGGUGAAGAAGGCCUCGGUUGUAAG
rnacentral:rRNA from 1 species